CAUCAAAAAUUGAAAUCUCACUUAUAUUUUGAAUGAUCUAAUAGUGAUGAUAAAUAUAGAGCCUAAAACCAUGAAUCAGUCUAUAAUAGUGUCUAUGGUAAGAGCCAUGAUUGUUAAUAGAUAAUCGAUAAUGGAUCUGACUUUGAUUACACUCAAUUUAUACUACUAAGUAUAACUAAUGAUAAACAGUGUUUUCAAACAUUAUUAAAUUUCCAGUUCAGUUUA